CCGGGUCCUCCUGACAUAUUUUGAGCCUCUGGAUCACGCACAGCCUGAAGGCCUUCUCCCUACCUCUUGCCUUUUCAGUUAUGGCACCAAAUAACUUCCCAUUUUCUUUGAAGGCAAUUUGAACAAGAGGUACUGUUAUGUACAUCAAAAAAGAGUUCUCAAUGAUAUCCUCUCUCUCUCUCUUUUUUGAGACAGGAUCUCAAAUUACAAUUUUUUCUUAUAAAUUUGGAGUGCAGUGGUGCAAUCUCAGCUCACUGCAGCUUUGACCUCCCAGGUUCAAGUGAUCCUCCCGAAUCAGCCUUCCAGGUAGCUGUGAUUACAGGUGCAUGCUACCAGGCUAAUUAGCAUGAUAGGCUAAUUUCUGUAUGUUUAGUAGAGAUGGGGUUUCCCCAUGUUGUCCAGGCUGGUCUUGACCUCUUGGACUCUGGACUCAAGCGAUUGGCCCACCUUGGGCUUUCAGUGUGCGGGGAUUACAGGCAUGAGCCACCAUGCCUGGCCACAUUGAUAUUCUCUUUAAGCCUCAAUUUUUUUUAAUCUUAAAAUGGGGCUAAAAUACCCCAUUGCAGCAAUGGCAAAAUUUAAAUAAGAUGACUUAUGUAAAGCAUAUUUUGGUUCCUGGUACAUAGAGAUUGUCUUUGUGAAUGAUGACUAUUAACGUGUAACAAUACUAUGAUUAGAGAAAAACUAAUACAAUUUCUAUUUUUUUCUUCAACUUUUAUUUUAAGUUCACGGGUACAUGUGCAGGAUGUGCAGGUAUGUUGCAUAGCCAGUCUCAGGUCUUGCCUUAGGCAUUGCUCCUUCUGGAAAGCACCCGACCCCACCCCUGUUCUGCAGGGCUGUGUCAGGUAUGCCUCUGUGAUUUGAUUUAUCUUAUUAAUUAUCAUCCUGUCCUCUAAUUGAUUAUUUGUCUGUUUCCUCCUCUAGAUUGCAAGCUUCUGCAAAGAUAUGGAACUUAUUUGUUUUACUCACUGUCCUGUCUCCAAGUAUUUAAUAUAACAGAGACUUACUGAAUAUUGGAAUGGAUGAAUGAAAAUCGUGUCUAGCACAGUGUCAUACUGAUUGCAGAUGAGUUAACUAAAAAGUUAACAUUUACUAGAAGAUGGUAUUUCUUCAUUGUGGUUUGGCCUGAUUUUAUUGGUGGAUCCUGCUGACAACGUUAUAUACUAAUAUUAAAAUGAUAGGCUGAGCAUGGUAGCUCACACUUCUAAUCCCAGGACUUUGGGAGGACAAGGUGGGAGGGUUGUUUGAGCUCAGGAGUUUGAGACCAGCCUGGAUAAUGUAGUGAGAUUCCGUCUCCCAAGGCAAAACAAACCCAAAAGGGGAGCAUAUUAUUGCUCUUUUAAAUAUAUGCCCUGACUAUGAUGUUGCUACAAAAAUAAGCCUGAUCUGGAAGGAGACAGAACCAGUUUUCAGUCCUGAUUCUCUCCUUCCUGGUUGUAUUGGUUGGUUAAUCUCUUUGAGCCUCAAAUCCUUGAGUAGAAAAAUGGGAAUAAUAUAACCUGCCUUGUGGGUUCUAUGUAAUAAGUGAAUGAAAUAAUAUCUGAAAGGCACUUAGUAUGGGGGCUGGCAAAAAUAAGUACUUAAAAAUGUUAGUCAUGAUUAGUAUUACAGUAAGGAUAAUAAACACUACUUUGCUUGGCAACUAGAUGCUUGACAGACAGUAGCUUAUAUUAUUACUAUUAUUAUAAAGGAAUGCUGGAGUUUUAUUGUAAUGACUAUGAGCUGAAUUGGCAGGAAGCUGCUCUUUAGAGACUCAGGGAAGCAGGAGCCAGUGCUGGGAAGGCUCUUCCUCUUGUUUCCUAGAGGCAGAGAAAGAGUGGUCAGUUCGGAUUGCACCAGAUCGAAGGAGAGCUUUGAAAGGGAGUCACUGAACGGGUAGCCCCUUCUGGCAACUUACUUCCUGGGACAAAGCACAGCAAGCACUUGGAGAGGCCUUUGUUGAGUAGCUUGGGAUCUUUCCUCCUGCCAACCUGCAGGGAAUAAAACAUGGCCCAGGGCAGACUUUGGAAUUGCAUGGGGUGAACCGGGUAAGGGUGCUUAAGGGAGAACUUUACUCGGGAAAGGUAGUAUUUGUGAAUUUCUAUUGAAACCUCAUGCACACAUCUUUGUAACAAGCAUUAUAAAUGUCAGGAGGCUCAACCACCAGUUUGAAGGCAUUUCGCCUCUAACCUGAGGCUUCUAAGGACUGCUUUACCUAUAAUGUGCUCCUUGCUGAUUCCUCCACACUCAUUUUCCAAAGGCUGCCCUUUAAGGGUAUAAUGAAUACUGCUAUUUCUCUUCCCAACUAAGAGCCAGAAGGUGAGCUGGGUUGUAGAAUCCCAGAGAUUUGGGUAUUUGGGACAUGCAGGCCUAUUGCCUCUCUGGCUUCUGACCAAGGGCACUAGCACCUUCUAUGUGCAGGCCGGGGACUCCUGGAUACUUGGAUGGUGUGACGAGAAAUUUACAAGCCUAAAGUGUCAGAAGAGGGUGGAUCUGGGGCCUGGUCAGAGGUGGGCUGGAACUUUGGCUCUGCUACUUACAUCAGUGCGCCCUUGGUUAAGGUAACAGCGCUGCUCUGAGCCUGUGUGUCCUUAUCUGUGAAGGCGGAUCAUAUCCUUACUUAAUAGGACAAUCGAUACGUCUGGAUUUAGUUCUACCCCCUAAUGAUUUGCAUUCUGUUUAUUCCCUGUGUUUUCAAUUUCCUGUCUUCUUUGGAAUUCCUUGGAUAUUUUUCAGUGUUUCAUUUUGACUUAACUAUGGAGUUUUUGACUGUAUCUGCUGUGGACUGAAUUGUAUCUCUCAAAUUCAUAUGCUGAAGUCCUAACUCUGAAUUUGGUGGUAUUUGUAGGUGGGGCCUUUGGGAGGUAUUUAGCUUUAGAUGAAGGCAUGAGGGUAUUGCCUUCAUUAUGGGAUUAGUGGCCUUAUGAUGUGGUUUGGCUCUGUGUCCACACCCAAAUCUCAUGUUGAAGUGUAAUUCCCAGUGUUGAAGGAGAUGCCUGGUGGGAGGUGGUUGAAUCAUAAGGUGGACUUCCCCCUUGCUGUUCUUGUGAUAGAAUUCUCACAAGAUCUGGUUGUUUGAAAGGUUUUAGCACUUCCCCCUUUGUGUUCCCUCUCUCUCUCUCUCUCUCUCUCUCUCCUGACACUGUGGUAAGACAUGCUUGCUUCCCCUUCUUCUUCUGCCAUGAUUGUAAGUUUCCUGAGGCCUCCCAGCCAUGCUUCUUGUACAGCCUGUGGAACUGUGAGCCAAUUAAACUUCUUUUCUUCAUAAAAGACUCAGUCUCAGGUAAUUCUUUAUGGCAGUGUGAGAGCAGACUAACAUGCCUUUUAAGAAGAAACACUAGAGAGCUUGCGUC
ensembl:lncRNA